AGGAAAUUCAUAUUUAAUUAAAAGGAAAAAAAUGCGUGCAACAUGAAGCAUUUCAUUUCAAACAUUCAGAUUAAAAGCCAUCUUCCCACACCGUCAUCCAUAGCGCCAGAGGUUGCCUCCGGCAGCGGUGGAUCACCAAAAUGAAAACGAAAACUACUUCUGGAACCGUGGCAACAAGUUGAGCAUGAAUUUGGUAUCAAUUUUAAGAGGAACUCACUCAAAAUGCCAAAUUGAAGAGAUCUCCUCAAGAACCCUAAUUAUUCUAAGAUAAAUUAAAUACCAAACAUAAGGAAUCAAAGCCCGAGAGGUUAGGGUUUUGAUUCCCCUCGUCUCCUUAUACAUCUCGGUAUCGAGAAAUUGAUGAAAAACGAAAGUUGGAAAAAUCACCUUGUCGGAGAAGAUGAUAUGAAAAAUCUUAGGUUAUGAUCCAUUUUGCAGGCCUAUUAUGAUAAUUUGCAAUGCAAUGUGAGAUGGUUAUGGUUAUGCUCAUGUUGUUGUUGUUGCUUGGACUGACAUGAAUGCAUUAGCUCUGCAGGAUUGUGUUAUGGAAUUGCACUUGGUUGGUUUGAUGACUUGAUGUGUUACUUUUGUGCAUUGGUUUUUGCUAGGAUCAAACCUAGCAUGAUGGACAUCAAGGCUUGACAAUGACUUGGAGAAAAAUAAUGAAAGCAAGUGAUCAUGGAUUUUGAUGAUUAAAAAUGGGCAAGUGGAAUUUUGUUAGACUUUAGGAUAAUCAAGGGGAGUCACUUGACUUUGGUCAAAUGGUUGACAAAAAAGCUAAUUAUUGGCCAAAAAGUCAACUGUUAUAGAAAUGGUCAAAUUUUGUAAUUUUUCUAUGUAUGGACAUUUGGAUGUGAUGUAUGAAUAUAAAUGACACUUGUUUAGGAAAUGAAUAAUGUUGAAGAUGAAAUGAAUAAUUCAAUGAUACAUAUGACCUAUGAAUCGA